AUUGAACGCUGGCGGCAUGCUUUACACAUGCAAGUCGAACGGCAGCACGGAAGAGCUUGCUCUUUUGGUGGCGAGUGGCGAACGGGUGAGUAAUGCAUCGGAACGUACCGAGUAGUGGGGGAUAACUGUCCGAAAGGAUGGCUAAUACCGCAUACGCUUUGAGAAGGAAAGCGGGGGCUCUUAGGACCUCGCGCUAUCUGAGCGGCCGAUGUCUGAUUAGCUAGUUGGUGGGGUAAAGGCCUACCAAGGCGACGAUCAGUAGCGGGUCUGAGAGGAUGAUCCGCCACACUGGGACUGAGACACGGCCCAGACUCCUACGGGAGGCAGCAGUGGGGAAUUUUGGACAAUGGGGGCAACCCUGAUCCAGCCAUGCCGCGUGUCUGAAGAAGGCCUUCGGGUUGUAAAGGACUUUUGUCAGGGAAGAAAGGAUUUGUGCUAAUACCACGAAUAUAUGACGGUACCUGAAGAAUAAGCACCGGCUAACUACGUGCCAGCAGCCGCGGUAAUACGUAGGGUGCGAGUGUUAAUCGGAAUUACUGGGCGUAAAGCGGGCGCAGACGGUUACUUAAGUCAGAUGUGAAAUCCCCGGGCUCAACCUGGGAACUGCGUUUGAAACUGGGUAGCUAGAGUAUGUCAGAGGGGGGUAGAAUUCCACGUGUAGCAGUGAAAUGCGUAGAGAUGUGGAGGAAUACCGAUGGCGAAGGCAGCCCCCUGGGAUAAUACUGACGUUCAUGCCCGAAAGCGUGGGUAGCAAACAGGAUUAGAUACCCUGGUAGUCCACGCCCUAAACGAUGUCAAUUAGCUGUUGGGGCACUUGAUGCCUUAGUAGCGUAGCUAACGCGUGAAAUUGACCGCCUGGGGAGUACGGUCGCAAGAUUAAAACUCAAAGGAAUUGACGGGGACCCGCACAAGCGGUGGAUGAUGUGGAUUAAUUCGAUGCAACGCGAAGAACCUUACCUGGUCUUGACAUGUACGGAAUCCUCCAGAGACGGAGGAGUGCCUUCGGGAGCCGUAACACAGGUGCUGCAUGGCUGUCGUCAGCUCGUGUCGUGAGAUGUUGGGUUAAGUCCCGCAACAAGCGCAACCCUUGUCAUUAGUUGCCAUCAUUAAGUUGGGCACUCUAAUGAGACUGCCGGUGACAAGCCGGAGGAAGGUGGGGAUGACGUCAAGUCCUCAUGGCCCUUAUGACCAGGGCUUCACACGUCAUACAAUGGUCGGUACAGAGGGUAGCCAAGCCGCGAGGUGGAGCCAAUCUCAUAAAACCGAUCGUAGUCCGGAUUGCACUCUGCAACUCGAGUGCAUGAAGUCGGAAUCGCUAGUAAUCGCAGGUCAGCAUACUGCGGUGAAUACGUUCCCGGGUCU
rnacentral:rRNA from 1 species